rnacentral:rRNA from 1 species
GGACGGGUGAGUAACGCGUGAGCAAUCUGCCCUAUACAACGGGAUAACACAGAGAAAUUUGUGCUAAUACCAUAUAAGACUACAAGAGCCGCAUGGCUCGGUGGUAAAAGCUACGGCGGUAUAGGAGGAGCUCGCGUCCCAUUAGUUAGUUGGCGAGGGUAAUGGCCCACCAAGACAGCGAUGGGUAGCCGGCCUGAGAGGGCGAACGGCCACACUGGAACUGAGAUACGGUCCAGACUCCUACGGGAGGCAGCAGUGGGGAAUAUUGGGCAAUGGAGGCAACUCUGACCCAGCAACGCCGCGUGAAUGAAGAAGGUCUUCGGAUUGUAAAGUUCUUUAAUUGGGGACGAAAGUAAUGACGGUACCCAAAGAAUAAGCCACGGCUAACUACGUGCCAGCAGCCGCGGUAAUACGUAGGUGGCAAGCGUUGUCCGGAAUGACUGGGCGUAAAG